CUCUACCUUACACUCACCUCUAUGAUUUUCCAUCUCCUUCUUUUCUCUUCCUUACGCUCAAAAUCUCUAAUCUUGCACUAUUCUCCCAUGUCCCAAUACUCAAACAACUGACAAAAAAAAACAAGAAAAAUGGACACUGAUAGACCCCAUCGCUCCAAUAGCAACAACAAUUCCAGCAGUACUAGCAGCACUAGCGAACUUUUUAUUUGCUUCACCUCUCGCCUCCCUUCUUCUUCUAUGAAGAUCUCUUCUAAGUCUAUCCUUAGUCCUGGCCGCACUAGGGAACCUUCUCAAAUCUCUCUCUCUAACUCUCUUAGCAGAAGAUUAAGAACUAAUGGUAGCAUGAAAGGUGGCCAAGCUUCUCCAAUGUUCCCCACUAAUGGCAAGAAACGUGGCUGUGCCUUUGAAAAUCCUGAACCUUCUUCUCCAAAGGUUACCUGCAUUGGUCAGGUCAGAGUCAAGACCAAGAAACAGGGCAAGAAACUCAGAACAAGAUCUCAAAGAAGAGGUGAGGUAAGUUUUAGAAGAGUAGACCAAACCAGCAC
rnacentral:misc_RNA from 1 species